GAUGAACGCUGGCGGCGUGCCUAAUACAUGCAAGUCGAGCGAACAGACGAGGAGCUUGCUCCUUUGACGUUAGCGGAGGACGGGUGAGUAACACGUAGGUAACCUACCUAUAAGACUGGGAUAACUUCGGGAAACCGGAGCUAAUACCGGAUAAUAUUUCGAACCGCAUGGUUCGAUAGUGAAAGAUGGCUUUGCUAUCACUUAUAGAUGGACCUGCGCCGUAUUAGCUAGUUGGUAAGGUAACGGCUUACCAAGGCAACGAUACGUAGCCGACCUGAGAGGGUGAUCGGCCACACUGGAACUGAGACACGGUCCAGACUCCUACGGGAGGCAGCAGUAGGGAAUCUUCCGCAAUGGGCGAAAGCCUGACGGAGCAACGCCGCGUGAGUGAUGAAGGUCUUCGGAUCGUAAAACUCUGUUAUUAGGGAAGAACAAACGUGUAAGUAACUGUGCACGUCUUGACGGUACCUAAUCAGAAAGCCACGGCUAACUACGUG
rnacentral:rRNA from 1 species